rnacentral:rRNA from 1 species
AUACGGAGGGUGCAAGCGUUAUCCGGAUUCAUUGGGUUUAAAGGGUACGUAGGCGGAUAGAUAAGUUAGUGGUGAAAUCCCGAAGCUCAACUUCGGAACUGCCAUUAAAACUGUCUAUCUUGAAUUUGGUUGAAGUGGGCGGAAUAUGACAUGUAGCGGUGAAAUGCAUAGAUAUGUCAUGGAACACCGAUAGUGAAGACAGCUCACUAAGCCAAUAUUGACGCUGAGGUACGAAAGCAUGGGUAGCGAACAGGAGUAGAAACCCCAGUAGUCC